rnacentral:rRNA from 1 species
AUGAGGCUUGUGCCUUUGUUAACUGGCUGGAUGAAAAAUUGCAUGGUAGGGCUCGGAGUGUUUUCACCAAGCUCACAGAAGAUAACUUCCUCUUCUCUGCAUACCCGCUUAAGUAUCCACCAUCUUUAUCGUCCCCGGCAGGCCGCGCUAUCCACUGGCACACACUCUGCAGCCAUGUCGAGCAAUAGGGAGGAAGAAAGUUUGGCAGCAGUCUGGCACCCAAUGAUAGGUCAACAUCGGAAUCAUCCCUUCAUGGAAGGGACGCCGCCUCCGGAGUCGUCAGACGACAACCAGCUAGACGAGGAGCCGUCGGAGGACGAAGAAGAGGACGACGAUGAGGAGGAGGAGGAAUUGUCGAACGAGGAGGAGGAGGACGACGACAACAACGACAAUGAUGACGGCGGUAGCGAUGAAAAGCCAACGGUCAACGGCAAGAAGUGUCCUCGCCAAGACGAUGUCGCGGGGCCAUCCAACAAGAACAACAAGAAGAAGAAGGACUAA